UACGGGGGGGGCAAGCGUUGUUCGGAAUUACUGGGCGUAAAGGGCUCGUAGGCGGCCAACUAAGUCAGACGUGAAAUCCCUCGGCUUAACCGGGGAACUGCGUCUGAUACUGGAUGGCUUGAGUUCGGGAGAGGGAUGUGGAAUUCCAGGUGUAGCGGUGAAAUGCGUAGAUAUCGGAAGGAACACCAGUGGCGAAAGCGGCUUCCUGGUCCAGCACCGACGUUCAGGCACGAAAGCGUGGGGAGCAAACAGG
rnacentral:rRNA from 1 species